UACGUAGGGUGCAAGCGUUGUCCGGAAUUAUUGGGCGUAAAGGAGCUCGUAGGUGGCCUGUCGCGUCGGCUGUGAAAACCCGGGGCUCAACCCCGGGCCUGCAGUCGAUACGGGCAGACGUAGAGUGCGGUAGGGGAGACUGGAAUUCCUGGUGUAGCGGUGAAAUGCGCAGAUAUCAGGAGGAACACCGGUGGCGAAGGCGGGUCUCUGGGCCGUAACUGACGCUGAGGAGCGAAAGCGUGGGGAGCGAACAGG
rnacentral:rRNA from 1 species